GACGAACGCUGGCGGCGUGCUUAACACAUGCAAGUCGAACGGAAAGGCCCUGCUUUUGUGGGGUGCUCGAGUGGCGAACGGGUGAGUAACACGUGAGUAACCUGCCCUUGACUUUGGGAUAACUUCAGGAAACUGGGGCUAAUACCGGAUAGGAGCUCCUGCUGCAUGGUGGGGGUUGGAAAGUUUCGGCGGUUGGGGAUGGACUCGCGGCUUAUCAGCUUGUUGGUGGGGUAGUGGCUUACCAAGGCUUUGACGGGUAGCCGGCCUGAGAGGGCGACCGGCCACAUUGGGACUGAGAUACGGCCCAGACUCCUACGGGAGGCAGCAGUGGGGAAUAUUGCACAAUGGGCGGAAGCCUGAUGCAGCAACGCCGCGUGCGGGAUGACGGCCUUCGGGUUGUAAACCGCUUUCGCCUGUGACGAAGCGUGAGUGACGGUAAUGGAUAAAGAAGCACCGGCUAACUACGUGCCAGCAGCCGCGGUGAUACGUAGGGUGCGAGCGUUGUCCGGAUUUAUUGGGCGUAAAGGGCUCGUAGGUGGUUGAUCGCGUCGGAAGUGUAAUCUUGGGGCUUAACCCUGAGCGUGCUUUCGAUACGGGUUGACUUGAGGAAGGUAGGGGAGAAUGGAAUUCCUGGUGGAGCGGUGGAAUGCGCAGAUAUCAGGAGGAACACCAGUGGCGAAGGCGGUUCUCUGGGCCUUUCCUGACGCUGAGGAGCGAAAGCGUGGGGAGCGAACAGGCUUAGAUACCCUGGUAGUCCACGCUGUAAACGGUGGGUACUAGGUGUGGGGUCCAUUCCACGGGUUCCGUGCCGUAGCUAACGCUUUAAGUACCCCGCCUGGGGAGUACGGCCGCAAGGCUAAAACUCAAAGGAAUUGACGGGGCCCCGCACAAGCGGCGGAGCAUGCGGAUUAAUUCGAUGCAACGCGUAGAACCUUACCUGGGUUUGACAUGGAUCGGGAGUGCUCAGAGAUGGGUGUGCCUCUUUUGGGGUCGGUUCACAGGUGGUGCAUGGCUGUCGUCAGCUCGUGUCGUGAGAUGUUGGGUUAAGUCCCGCAACGAGCGCAACCCUUGUUCACUGUUGCCAGCACGUUAUGGUGGGGACUCAGUGGAGACCGCCGGGGUCAACUCGGAGGAAGGUGGGGAUGACGUCAAGUCAUCAUGCCCCUUAUGUCCAGGGCUUCACGCAUGCUACAAUGGCUGGUACAGAGAGUGGCGAGCCUGUGAGGGUGAGCGAAUCUCGGAAAGCCGGUCUCAGUUCGGAUUGGGGUCUGCAACUCGACCUCAUGAAGUCGGAGUCGCUAGUAAUCGCAGAUCAGCAACGCUGCGGUGAAUACGUUCCCGGGGCU
rnacentral:rRNA from 1 species